CAACGUUCAUGUCCUCGCUGGACAAAUUAAAGAAAAAUGGCAGCUGAAAUUGUGAGAAGGGUCCAGCUGCACACCCGCAGACCGCUCCACGACACACCCCCGACUACAGGUCACAAAAGGUAGUGCGACGUAAACGUGAUGACGUUUACGUCGGAGGGAAGGGUUAUACCAUUGAGACAGGGCGUCUCAUUUUCAACCAAGAAACGUAGCAACACUACUGUUACAGAUGGAGCCCUGAGCUGAGGAGAUGCAACAUUUGCCAAACAAAGGGGAGCUACGCAAAGCUUGUGUCUCAUGUGCACGGACAGAGGACGGUGGUGCAAGAGGACACUGAAGACCAUCCCUACAGCAAAGACUUGAGCAGUGAUGUUACUGUGGUCAAACAAGAGGACACAGGAAGUGCUUCCUUCAAAGACAGGAAGUGCAAAUGAUCAGGGAAAGAAAAUGUCAUAUUCAAAGUACUUCAUCACAAACAGCGACCAUGAAUAACCAAAAUCAUCAGAGUGAUUAGAGAGACACAUUGUGUCUCCCUGGACCAAGAAGGACGACAGGGUCUUCAUUCUUUUUGAAGUGGACCAGGUGAUGUCUCCUUUUAACACACGCUCACUGUCCAACACAAUCUGAAAUCUAUGUCCCUGCAGCUGUACUCUCAUCUCCCUGGACAAAGACAAAGACAUGGACACAUGUGGAACUGAGGUGAACUGAUCAUUUAGGAAACUGUUCAUCCACUUUUCACAACAGUUUACAUCCCAUAAUAUAUGUGAGUGUCAUUAAUGACUUCAUUAUUUUGUCUCAUGUCUCAUGUCCAAGGAAGCGAGGCUCAAACUGGAAAGCCUUAGAGAGGGAGGACUUUUAGAAACAUGUAAAUAGUUAAUUGUCUGCUAUGCAUACAAAUAAAAACCAUAUAUCAUU